rnacentral:rRNA from 1 species
UACGAGUGGUGCAAGCGUUAUUCGGAAUCAUUGGGCGUAAAGGGUGUGUAGGCGGCAAAUCAAGUCUAUUGUUAAAUUUCUCGGCCUAACCGGGAUGCUGCGGUGGAUACUGAUUUGAUAGAGGAUGGAAGAGAGAAGUGGAAUUCUCGGAGUAGCGGUAAAAUGCGUAGAUAUCGAGAGGAACACCGAUGGCGAAGGCAGCUUCUUGGUCCAUACCUGACGCUGAAACACGAAAGCGUGGGGAGCGAUCCGG